AUUGAACGCUGGCGGCAGGCCUAACACAUGCAAGUCGAGCGAGCGGCGGACGGGUUAGUAAUGUAUGGGGACUGCCCGAUAGAGGGGGAUAACUACUGGAAACGGUAGCUAAUACCGCAUACUAUCGGAUCACCCAUAUGGGAUUAGCUAGUAGGUAAGGUAAUGGCUCACCUAGGCGACGAUCCCUAGCUGGUCUGAAAGGAUGAUCAGCCACACGGGGACGGAGACACGGCCCAGACUCCUACGGAGGCAGCAGUGGGGAAUAGUGAACAAUGGGCGCAAGACUGAUGCAGCCAUGCAGCGUGUAUGAAGAAGGCCCUAGGGUUGUAAAGUACGUUCAGUCGGGAGGGGUUACCGACAGAAGAAGCACCGGCAAACUCCGUGCGAGGAGCGGCGGGAAUAC
rnacentral:rRNA from 1 species